rnacentral:lncRNA from 1 species
AAACGACAUACAUUUUGGGAAAGCAUGGGCGCAUGUUAGCCUGAAUCAACAACACAGUAGUGCGUUUUAGCACGACCGGCGAGUUUAGCAUCAAUGAUGUCGUGGCACCGAAAUGAUUAGGUGAUUCAUCAAAUCUCCACCACCUCAAAAAACAACAUUAAUAGCAUACUUUAGCACACGACCACCACCAUCACCACAACAAAAACCGAAUGAAACACUGUAAGUGUGAGCAAAACACAAAAACAACAUCGUCAAUUUUGAAGAACUAUUUAUCUAUCUAUCAAUUGGUAUUAUCAAAGUUGCAACCUUUAUUCCGAGUUUUGGAAGAAAGAGAAAGUGGGCAAUGGUGGGAUGAGGAUAAAAAGGGAAAAACAGAAAGAAAUAUCAAGAGGGGAGUGGAUUUUUUCUUACAAGAAAAUCACUCUCAUUAUUUGCUUUUUCAACAUUCUUCUUUCCCUCUAUUCUAUUCCUUCUCUUUCUUCCUCUCUUUAUAUCUAUUCCGCUACCAUUUCCCCUAACUUUGUGGUGUAUAAACCAGAUCAUAUGAAGAAAAUGGAAGAAUCAAUCCAAAUCCGGAAGGCAUAUAAACCAGUGGAGUUGAUGAAAUGGACGAAGGAAUUGGAAGGGGAGUUUUCAAGUAAAAACGUGGCGGUUGAGUUGCCUCAGCAUUUGAAACAAAAAAUACUUGAUGAGAUUUUGAUGAGACUAAGGAGCUUGAAUAGCAAUAGUACAAGCAUCGCUAAGGAGCCAGGUGAGCGUAUGCUUGUAAAUUAUGCCGAUAAGUAUGUAUUAUUCCUCUUUACAUUGAAACUUUGGAUUACAAAAAGGAUGAUAGGAGCUGUAAUGUACUUGGUCACUACUCUUCAUAGGAGGUGCAAAGUGCCGAGUUUCGCUGCUGCUUGUUUAUCAAUUUUUAUUUUGUAGGAAAACUAAUACCAAGUUUACAUUGACGACUUGAUUGAGAUGUGAUGAAAUAUGUGCAUGUUGAACUUGAUUGCGUUUGGUUAAUCUAAAUUGGUGCUAGAAUUAAUGAUAUCACCUUAUGAUGCAAGAGGACUAGGAUCUCAUAUUAACACAAUUACUUAGACUUCCAUGAUUUGACUUUCAAUGUAUAGUCAUUUUGUUUAUGUUUUGUUGUUCGAGGAGGCAACUAGCUGUUUGAUGUUUCGAAUGUAAAUUGGAUUAUCUUUCUGUGGAAAUUGCUCUGAUAUGAUCAUAAGCCUUCCUUUUUCUUCCAUUGCUUUCUUCUCACUCUUAAACUUAGGAAGAUACCAUUUUGAUUUGUAUUCAUGUCCUCAAUUAAGUUCUAAGGGGGCAUAAUUUGAUUUAUCAAAACUUUUUCUGGUUAUAUUUAUCUGGUUGACUGGUUCAAUGAUAAGGUGUGAUUAUUAGCCCCAUGUUACAAAGGAGUUGGAUGUCAUUGCAAUGGUUGUGCGUUGCAUGAUUGGCUCUUAUUCAGACAUAAGAACAAGAGUUUUGAAGGUUUUGAAACAUGUAAAACAACCAAGCCUUAAUCUCACUAUUCAACAUUUGACAUCUGUGUACUAAACUUGGACAAAUAUUUGGCCAAAUGAUGCCACAUUCUUUUACCUAAACAUCAAUUGUUAUCAUGAAAUUUCUAAUAAAAAAUGUGAAAUAUAGAAAAUAUCAGGUGGAUGUAGAGAGACAAACAAGUAUGUGUGGUAUUCAUUUAAAAUGUGAAGCGGGGACUCACUUGAUUUUGGGAUGAAAAUCAGUGUAUCGGACUUCAUGAUACUGAGUAGAAGCUUCAAUUUGGAAGUGUUGGAUCUAUUGCUUCCUUUUAAAGCUGGGAAGCAGGGGAUAAAAGCAGGAGAGAAACAUUUAAAUCCACCAUGUGAGAGCCUCAUGCACGACCGCGCACUCUGUUGGCCUUGAACUAUUUUUAAUAUUACUUAUCUCAGUAUGUAAAGUAACAUUUUUCUUCAAAUAGUGGAUAAUCAGUCAUAUCUUUGAUGUCACAUGGCAAACUUUUCUGCCAAAUGUGGUUCCUCUUCUGUUACUUCCAUUUUUUGGUUUAUGCAUUUAAUUUGGUGGUGUUAUG